rnacentral:rRNA from 1 species
CCUACGGGAGGCAGCAGUGAGGAAUAUUGGUCAAUGGCCGGAAGGCUGAACCAGCCAUGCCGCGUGAAGGUCAGUGCCCUAUGGGCGUUAAACUUCUUUUAUCAGGGACGAAGCAAGUGACGGUACCUGAUGAAUAAGCCACGGCUAACUACGUGCCAGCAGCCGCGGUAAUACGUAGGUGGCAAGCGUUAUCCGGAUUUACUGGGUGUAAGGGCGUGUAGGCGGGAGUGCAAGUCAGAUGUGAAAACUAUGGGCUCAACCCAUAGCCUGCAUUUGAAACUGUACUUCUUGAGUGCUGGAGAGGCAAUCGGAAUUCCGUGGGUAGCGGUGAAAUGCGUAGAUAUACGGAGGAACACCAGUGGCGAAGGCGGAUUGCUGGACAGUAACUGACGCUGAGGCGCGAAAGCGUGGGGAGCAAACAGGAUUAGAUACCCCGGUAGUC